CCAGAUGCGAUAGGUUUUUCACACAGUUGUUUUCCAGUCCUAUCUCGCAGUUCGUUUUUCCGAAGCUCGUGUGACAGCGGAAUCACAAAGACUACUGGGUACCUACCUAGGUAUACAUAUUCAGAAUCAGAAGUUUGUUGUUCAGUUGCAUUAAUUCAGACGUUCGUGUGAUAGAAGCAUUACCUACAUACCCGAUUCAAAUCAAAAGUCAUGAUGGCUAUCAAAUCGUAUUUUUUCAUUUUAUUGCUUAUAGCCUUACAACUUUAUUCUGUUAAAUACACUGUUGUGAUCGCACCAGAUAUAGACCCUAACGGCAUAUUUGGCUCGGUCUGGCAACCUCCACCAGAUCCAUCAGGUUAUGACGGUGACACUGAAUAGUUUGGAGCCCUCACUAGAUAGGUAUAGGUAGUUAUUAAGAAAAAAAUCUACAUAUAAAUUUACAGACCUCUAUUUUUAAGAAAAAAUUAACGUAAGUAAGUACCUAUAAGUAAUAAUGUUAAUUUAUCAUAGAUAUACCUAAUUUUACAGACCUUUAUUUUUCACAAAAAUAAACCUAAUAAUUUUCCUCAU